rnacentral:rRNA from 1 species
UGGGGAAUUUUGCACAAUGGGGGAAACCUGAUGCAGCGAUGCCGCGUGAGUGAAGAAGGCCCUUGGGUUGUAAAACUCUUUCGUCGGGGAUGAAAAUGACUGUACCCGAAUAAGAAGGUCCGGCUAACUACGUG